GCCGAGAUAGCUCAGUAGGUAGAGCAACGGACUGAAAAUCCGUGUGUCCCCAGUUCGAUUCUGGGUCUCGGCA
rnacentral:tRNA from 1 species